UACGGGGGGGGGCAAGCGUUGUUCGGAAUUACUGGGCGUAAAGGGCGCGUAGGCGGCCUUCUAAGUCGAACGUGAAAUCCCUGGGCUUAACCCAGGAACUGCGUCCGAGACUGGAAGGCUUGAAUCCGGGAGAGGGAUGCGGAAGUUCCAGGUGUAGCGGUGAAAUGCGUAGAUAUCUGGAGGAACACCGGUGGCGAAGGCGGCGAUCCUGGACCGG
rnacentral:rRNA from 1 species